CACCAGAUGGAGUUGUUGAUCCUCAGCUGCAGAGCACUGGCCUCGGCGCCCUGCAGCCCGGCCUGACUAGGGGAAGUAGAGACAGAUCAGGUGACUGGGACUGGACGGAUGGGGAAGUGAGAUGCUGGUGACGACCACUUCCAUCCACUGGACAAGAAAAAAAAGUCAGAGGCUGGACAGGUUACCUCGGACCAUUUAAACUUUCCCUAGAGCCAUAGUGCAGGAUACAAAGUGACACGUAAGAUGCCUGAUCAGUCACAUCUGUGUCUACAGUCAAAAGCAAACACCAACCGUUUUUAUU
ensembl:lncRNA